UGCCUACGGGGCGCAGCAGUGAGGAAUAUUGGUCAAUGGGCGCGAGCCUGAACCAGCCAAGUCGCGUGAGGGAUGACGGCCCUACGGGUUGUAAACCUCUUUUGCCGGGGAGCAACGGGCGCCACGUGUGGCGCCACUGAGAGUACCCGGAGAAAAAGCAUCGGCUAACUCCGUGCCAGCAGCCGCGGUAAUACGGAGGAUGCGAGCGUUAUCCGGAUUUAUUGGGUUUAAAGGGUGCGUAGGCGGGCUGUUAAGUCAGCGGUCAAAUGUCGGGGCUCAACCCCGGCCUGCCGUUGAAACUGGCG
rnacentral:rRNA from 1 species